rnacentral:tRNA from 1 species
GGGGCGUAGCGCAGUCUGGUUAGCGUGCGUCGUUCGGGACGACGAGGUCGAGAGUUCGAAUCUCUCACAAACCCGCCA